rnacentral:hammerhead_ribozyme from 1 species
GCACUGCUGAAGAGUCCCACAAUAGGACAAAACGGCCGUCCAAUGU